CAUUUCUUUCCGGAAUUUUGUCACAGUAUUGGGAGGAUGACCACCAUGUGAACCCAUGAAUCGGAAAGGAUCCCAGAUAAAGCUGCUGUGCUUAAGUGUUUAACAAAGACACAGGACGUUCACCAGAAGAUGGUGCGAUGGACAGGAGUGGCUAAGAGCUUAUGCCCUGGGCCCAGAAGCUUGUGAGAGUGGCAAGAGGAGAUAUAGCCAUGGAGGAGCAAGGACCAGCUUCCAUUUUGGAGGAAUCUACAAUGGGGGGGGGAUGCUUCCCCUCCUCUGCCAUUCUAAGAAGGAAGAACUGCGCUGGACGACUCUGACAUGAAUGACUUCCGCCCUUUCGGAAAGUCUAGUAAAUCUUCAGAAUCGGAGGAUACAGAGACGAGGGUAUCCCACAGGAUGCGCAAGCGUGCGAGCCAGUCUCAGAAAAGAAGAAUCAAAACAUAACCUGGACGAUUAUAUUCCCGGGACAGGCCUACACGUUGCCUGCAUAAUUAUUUUGAAAGCAGGGACACUUGAGCAUGCAGGUGCUGCUAUGCUUCAAAGUAAGCUCAUUAGACAACGGCUCCUUGCAGCAUUGACGGCAGUAAGUAAACAUGACCCCAGGAAAAGCGCCACUGGAUGUUUUCAAUAGAGGCAUGCCAAGGACAGUCCUUUUCCAAGAGCUGGGGUAUACAGCAGUGGCAGAGGAAGGUGAGGAUUUUAAAAGAAGUCAUAUGACACCAUUGUCAGGAAAGCACAAUGUUGUCGAUGUUGGAAACCAUGGCUACUAGUUUCUGCGAGUUAAAAUGUCAAGUCCCCUUUUGCUGACAAAAGCUCCAAGGGAACAGUUGUCUCUCCCUGAUGAGCUACACUGUAAGGGCGAUGGAAUCUUUCUGUCAGAGCCUUUUCUGAAGGGCAUGCCUCCUAAUAACCUUCAUUAACUUCUGUUUGGUUGCCCAAGAGUUGUCUCUUAUCCAAAAAAAGUUUAACACAGUCUCAAAAAGAGAUUGUGUUUAUUUAAGCUUGUUGGAAAAACAUUCCUAUCAUUUCAAG